CCUACGGGUGGCUGCAGUGGGGAAUAUUGGACAAUGGGCGAAAGCCUGAUCCAGCCAUGCCGCGUGUGUGAAGAAGGCCUUCGGGUUGUAAAGCACUUUCAGUGGGGAAGAAAGCCUUGGGGCUAAUACCCUCGAGGAAGGACAUCACCCACAGAAGAAGCACCGGCUAACUCCGUGCCAGCAGCCGCGGUAAUACGGAGGGUGCGAGCGUUAAUCGGAAUUACUGGGCGUAAAGCGCGCGUAGGCGGUCUAAUAAGCCGGUUGUGAAAGCCCCGGGCUCAACCUGGGAACGGCAUCCGGAACUGUCAGGCUAGAGUGCAGGAGAGGAAGGUAGAAUUCCCGGUGUAGCGGUGAAAUGCGUAGAGAUCGGGAGGAAUACCAGUGGCGAAGGCGGCCUUCUGGACUGACACUGACGCUGAGGUGCGAAAGCGUGGGUAGCAAACAGGAUUAGAUACCCGGGUAGUC
rnacentral:rRNA from 1 species